rnacentral:rRNA from 1 species
CCUACGGGUGGCAGCAGUGGGGAAUAUUGGGCAAUGGGCGCAAGCCUGACCCAGCAACGCCGCGUGAAGGAAGAAGGCUUUCGGGUUGUAAACUUCUUUUCUGAGGGACGAAGAAAGUGACGGUACCUCAGGACUAAGCCACGGCUAACUACGUGCCAGCAGCCGCGGUAAUACGUAGGCGGCAAGCGUUAUCCGGAUGUAUUGGGUGAAAAGGGCGUGUAGGCGGGAAAGCAAGUCAGAUGUGAAAACUCAGGGCACAACCCUGAGCCUGCAUUUGAAACUGUUUUUCUUGAGUGCUGGAGAGGCAAUCGGAAGUCCGGGUGUAGCGGUGAAAUGCGUAGAUAUACGGAGGAACACCAGUGGCGAAGGUGGAUUGCUGGACAGUAACUGACGCUGAGGCGCGAAAGCGUGGGGAGCAAACAGGAUUAGAUACCCCGGUAUC